UACGGAGGAUCCAAGCGUUAUCCGGAUUCAUUGGGUUUAAAGGGUGCGUAGGCGGCUUAUUAAGUCAGUGGUGAAAGCCCUUCGCUUAACGAAGGAAUUGCCAUUGAUACUGUAGGUCUUGAGUACAGUUGAGGUGGGCGGAAUGUGUCAUGUAGCGGUGAAAUGCUUAGAUAUGACACAGAACACCGAUUGCGAAGGCAGCUCGCUAAACUGUAACUGACGCUGAGGCACGAAAGCGUGGGUAGCAAACAGG
rnacentral:rRNA from 1 species